UUUUCUCUCUGAAGAAGUCUAGUAAUAUGCUGUCUGCCUCUGAUAUCAGGCGAUGAUUCGAUGGUAUUGUUGCCUUGACGAGCUUAAGAAGCUCGUAAGCACUUUUGUCUUCCUUAAUGUCACUGAACAUGUUGUUGUGGAAGGACGAUGAACGAGCUUUUAUAGGAGAUUUAAGGGUUUCAUCCUCUAACCCUGCCAAUUCCAUUUGCUUUUCCAAGUUGAGUGGAUCCAACUGAGCAAGCUUCUCAAACCUUAUGAUAUUUGCCCUAAAUCUCAGUUUAGCUCCCUCCAUCCGGACAAGACUACGCUGGAAAGGAGGGCUAAUAUCUUCUUCAUCUUGGAAUGGACAGUCCAGCACUGACACUGGACUAAAUUGCUCUUUGUUCUCCUCAUUGGGCCACUCCUUUGUGUUUUUUUCCACCGAGAAGGCGAUGGAAUCUUCACCGACCGUUACGCCUUCUACCUCGCUGACUUUCUUCUUGCUGGGUAAAUCUUUUUGGCCUCUUGCGGCGGCGUUUUGGUUGCUGUAACUCUCUGAAUUACCGCUCUGAGCAGUAGAUUCGCUAUCAGUCCAACUCUCACUGUUACUGCCUGAACUCGUUGAGAGUCUGCCGUUGGUUAAUGCGGUUGUAACGAGUGAGGUGGAGUUUUGAUUUGUGUUGUGAUCUGACGGUUUAUCUACUUCCUCAAGGAACUCACGGAAAGUUCUCCACCGUCCGAUCUCGCUGCCUUCUCUUUCUCUGUGAUCAGCCUUCCUCCAGAAGCUUUUCUUGAAUAGCUUCCGCGAAAGGCUUCGGGGCAGAAGAAGUCCUCCUUUUCUACUUCUGUUGUGUACGAACGGAGAUGAAGACUUGAUGAAGGAGGAAGGAACCGGAAGCAGCUUAACAGCUUUAAUAACGGCCUCCGAUGCCUUUUGAAGAGCAGAGAUUGUUGUAGAAGCUGCUUUAGAUGAUCUACUUCUUUUGAAAAACUGUUGACGUGUAUGUUUGGGGUUGGGGUUGGGGUUGGUAUUGAGAUCGAUCUCGAGUAGAAAUCGGACGGUGGUGCAGCAUUGUCGGCGGGGAAAAGAUUUGAAGCCAUUGGAAGAACAGGAGCUGAGAUCAUCCCUGAGGUAAUCCUUGAGCAUCACUGGCCUGUUCUCAAUCAAAAAAGGUUUUUGACGAGAGAAAGUGAUAGUAGAAAUAGAACCCAUAUUGUUUUGAAAUUUAAAAAUAGAAAAGAACAAUGAUAUACAGGUUUAAGUAAAGGGAAAUGAAAUAAUGAGAGGAAGCAGAGGUUGUGAAAAGCUGGAAAAGAAACAGAGAGGCAUUUAAAACAGGAAGAGCAGCUUUUUAGUACAAACACUAAAAACUUACAGAGAGUGAAAGAGAGAGAAGAAAAGGAUUUUACAGAGGAAGGUAGGAUCCAAGGUGAAGAUCUCAACGAGUUGCAGGAGGUAGUAGAAGAAGCUUGGAUGCUUCUUAAGGUGAAGUAUUUGAAUCUAAAGUUUGG
rnacentral:misc_RNA from 1 species